rnacentral:ncRNA from 1 species
CAUAUGGGAAUGAUGUUCUCCCAAGGAAAACCUGAACCGCUUAUCCAGCUGAUGACUUCUGCAUUU